GACGAACGCUGGCGGCGUGCCUAAUACAUGCAAGUAGAACGCACGGUUUAUACCGUAGCUUGCUACACCAUAGACUGUGAGUUGCGAACGGGUGAGUAACGCGUAGGUAACCUGCCUGGUAGCGGGGGAUAACUAUUGGAAACGAUAGCUAAUACCGCAUAAUAUUAAUUAUUGCAUGAUAAUUAAUUGAAAGGUGCAAUUGCACCACUACCAGAUGGACCUGCGUUGUAUUAGCUAGUAGGUGAGGUAACGGCUCACCUAGGCGACGAUACAUAGCCGACCUGAGAGGGUGAUCGGCCACACUGGGACUGAGACACGGCCCAGACUCCUACGGGAGGCAGCAGUAGGGAAUCGUCGGCAAUGGACGAAAGUCUGACCGAGCAACGCCGCGUGAGUGAAGAAGGUUUUCGGAUCGUAAAGCUCUGUUGUAAGAGAAGAACGGGUGUGAGAGUGGAAAGUUCACACUGUGACGGUAUCUUACCAGAAAGGGACGGCUAACUACGUG
rnacentral:rRNA from 1 species